rnacentral:miRNA from 1 species
CCAUUCCUCUAAUCCCUAUGC